CCAGCCCUGGAUGCCCAGGUCCUCCUCCCUCUUGGUGAUCAGGAUUGAACACAGGCAGCGCAACAUGGAGCUUACCAUGCGUUGGGUUUUCCUGUUUGUAAUUUUGAAAGGUGUCCAAGCAGAGGUGCAGCUGGUGGAGUCCGGAGGAGGCUUGGUAGCACCUGGGGAGUCCCGGAAACUCUCCUGUUUGGCUUCGGGAUUUACCUUCACUGACUAUGCCAUGGGCUGGGUCCGCCAGGCUCCAGGGAAGGGGCUGGAAUGGAUCUCAUACAUCAGUAGUAGCGGUGGUAGCACAUACUACGCGGACUCCGUGAAGGGCCGAUUCACCAUCUCCAGAGAAAACGGGAAGAGCACGCUGUAUCUGGAAAUGAGCAGCCUGAGAACCGAGGACACGGCCGUGUAUUACUGUGCAAGACACACAGUGAGGGGACCUCAGUGUGCGCCCAGACACAAACCUCCCUGCAGGGGCGCUAUAGUCCAGCAGGGGUCACUGUGGUUCAAGGAGAACAAGGCAGGGCCCCAGCAGCAGGUGCAGAGAAGGCAGCAGAGGGGUGAGGGCUUCCUGUUGGCCUCAAGCUAG